CCUACUGGGUGGACGCGGCUAGAGCCCAAGGUCAAGUUGAAAGUUGAUGUCUAGCGGACGAG
rnacentral:sRNA from 1 species